GACGAACGCUGGCGGCGUGCUUAACACAUGCAAGUCGAACAGUGGCGAACGGGUGAGUAACGCGUAGGUGACUGCCUCAUAGCGGGGGAUAACUAUUGGGAAAGGUAGCUAAUACCGCCUACUGUUAGCUGGACCUGCGUUGUUUUAGCUUGUUGGUGGGGUAAAGGCUCACCAAGGCGACGAUACAUACCCGACCUGGGAGGGUGAUCGGCCACACUGGGAAUGAGACACGGGCCAGACGCCUACGGGAGGCAGCAGUAGGGAAGUUUCGGAAAUGGACGGAAGUCCGACCGAGCAACGGCGCGUGAGUGAAGAAGGUUUUCGGAUCGUAAAGCUACGUUGUUAGAGAAGCGGUACCUAAACAGAAAGGGACGGCUAACUACGUGCCAGCAGCCGCGGUAAUAC
rnacentral:rRNA from 1 species